GGUGGCUCAGUGGUAGAGUGCUUGCCUUGCAUGCAUAAGGCCCUGGGUUCAAUUCCUCAGUACCA
rfam:Dipodomys ordii contig_89258, whole genome shotgun sequence.